GAUGAUGCAUUUAACACCUUCUUCAGUGAAACUGGAGCUGGAAAGCAUGUUCCUCGUGCUGUUUUUGUAGAUCUUGAGCCUACUGUCAUUGAUGAAGUCAGGACAGGAACAUACAGACAGCUCUUUCACCCUGAGCAACUCAUUAGUGGCAAAGAAGAUGCAGCCAACAACUUUGCCCGUGGCCAUUAUACAAGUAUAUAUAUUACUCUGCAUUUGUUACUCUUUCAGGUCAAUUGUGUGCUGAUGGUCAUCUUUGUAUCUUUUGUGCAGUUGGGAAAGAAAUAGUUGAUCUUUGUUUGGACCGCAUUAGGAAGCUUUCAGAUAACUGUACUGGUCUUCAAGGUUUCCUGGUUUUUAAUGCUGUUGGUGGUGGCACUGGUUCUGGUCUUGGGUCACUUUUACUGGAGCGUCUCUCAGUUGACUAUGGCAAGAAAUCAAAACUUGGAUUCACAAUUUAUCCCUCACCACACGUCUCAACAUCUGUUGUGGAACCUUACAACAGUGUGCUUUCAACUCACUCCCUGCUUGAGCACACUGAUGUUGCAAUUCUUCUGGACAAUGAGGCCAUUUAUGACAUUUGCAAGCGCUCACUGGACAUUGAGCGCCCCACAUACACCAACCUUAACCGCCUUAUUUCAC
rnacentral:lncRNA from 1 species